rnacentral:rRNA from 1 species
UACAGAGGGUGCAAGCGUUGUUCGGAAUUACUGGGCGUAAAGGGUUCGUAGGUGGCUUGCUAAGUCAGACGUGAAAUCCCUCAGCUUAACCGGGGAACUGCGUCUGAUACUGGAUGGCUUGAGUUUGGGGAGAGGGAUGCGGAAUUCCACGUGUAGCGGUGAAAAUGCGUAGAGGAUGUGGAGGAACACCAGUGGCGAAGGCGGCUUUCUGGUCUGUAACUGACGCUGAGGCGCGAAAAGCGUGGGGGAGCAAACAGG